rnacentral:tRNA from 1 species
GUUUUAAUAGCUUAGUUUUCAAAGCAUUGGCCUUGUAAGCCAAAAACGGGGCAUCACAGCCCCUUAAAACA